CCCUUUGUGACAUACCUAACUGUUGCUUCGGCGGGUUAGGGGGUCCCCCCGGGGACGCCCUCCCGGCCGCGCCCUCCUCCUCCGGGAGGGGUCGCGGCGCCCGCCGGAGGAUAACCAAACUCUGAUUUAACGACGUUUCUUCUGAGUGGCACAAGCAAAUAAUUAAAACUUUUAACAACGGAUCUCUUGGUUCUGGCAUCGAUGAAGAACGCAGCGAAAUGCGAUAAGUAAUGUGAAUUGCAGAAUUCAGUGAAUCAUCGAAUCUUUGAACGCACAUUGCGCCCGCCAGCAUUCUGGCGGGCAUGCCUGUUCGAGCGUCAUUUCAACCCUCAAGCUUCGCUUGGUGUUGGGGCACUACGGUUGACGUAGGCCCUCAAAAGUAGUGGCGGACCCUCCCGGAGCCUCCUUUGCGUAGUAACUAACGUCUCGCAUCGGGAUCCGGAGGGACUCUUGCCGUAAAACCCCCUAACUUUUAACUGGUUGACCUCGGAUCAGGUAGGAAUACCCGCUGAACUUAAGCAUAU
rnacentral:rRNA from 1 species